rnacentral:snoRNA from 1 species
GGGGGCUCGUUAGAGAUUUUUUCUGCCCCUCGAGUUCUGAAUCCACUCUUACACAAGUCAUGCAUGACCAUGAUGAUGAGUUGUAGGGUUUCCCGAAGAGGCUUCGAGUAUUUUAUCUUCUCGAUAACUCGCUUGUUGUCAUUGGCGACUGUUCCCCCUUUUCUUUAAAAAAAAAAUGAUGAGGGAAACGCAUUCUGAGUAGU